AAGCGGACAGUAUGUAAGUUAACGGGACUUGAGGCUGCGUCGUUACGCCAAAUAUCUAUUCUUGCUAAACGAAUGACCUUAUUUUUAUUUAUCCAUACUUGCCAGGUAGUCAUAGACUGGCUUUAGACCAGUUUCCGUAUCCUGCUAAUUCUUACAAAUGCUAAGUUACUUAUUUCCAGUUCUCACUGAAUCCAGUCAAAUUUGUUAGGAGAAGACACUUAUGUCCACCUGGUCUCGGAGCAUGGUUGAUUCAUUUACCUAUUAUCACCAAGUGCAGCACAGGAGAAUAUUUUGUUGAAGCAAUUAGGAACAAGUAUAGAUGAUUCAUGCCAGUUGCAUGACUGUCUUUAAAACUUUUAACAUAUGAAACUCAAUUGUCGAUUAUUUGUUCAUAGUGUCAAGAUUGUGAACUCUAUGAAAAAACUUGAUUAUUAAGGAAGUUUGACUGACAGCAUUUAAAUAUGAUACUGUAAUAAAUUGAUUUCUUUAAGGUCCUAAGUAGGAUUGUCAACGGAUUGGAUUUUGAUACGAAUUUGAUGAAAUUAAUAGGAGAUGGAUUUAGAAUCUCAAUUCGAUAAUCCGAUCAAGAUCCGACUACGAUAAUCCAUUAAUUAAAUGUAGCAAAUAUGGAUAUAGGUCAACUCGAUUCGAUUUAUUAUAAUAAUAUAAUAUAUUUUAUAUAUUAUCGCAUAAUU
rnacentral:lncRNA from 1 species